UGUAGAGUCUGUGUGUGGAGCUUCUGUAGUUUGUGUUGAAGCGUCCACACUCAGCUCUGCAGC
ensembl:miRNA